rnacentral:misc_RNA from 1 species
GUCGUAACAAGGUUCCGUAGGUGAACCUGCGGAAGGAUCAUUAAAAAAUAUCACAUUUGUUGUGAUUUAAUAAUCAUCCUACCCUUUGUGAAUUUGUUUUUGUUUGAAAUUUAUGUUGUCUAUCCCUGGAUUAUGAAAGAAAAGUUGUAAAAGACUUUUUUUCAUUCUAGGGAAUAGGCUUUCAUAGACAUUUUUUUAAAUUAAACUUUUUGUAUUCAUUUGUCUAAAAUUUAUUUUUAAAUAAUUUAAAAACAACUUUUGACAAUGGAUCUCUUGGUUCUCGCAACGAUGAAGAACGCAGCAAAAUGCGAUAAGUAAUGUGAAUUGCAGAAUACGUGAAUCAUCAAAUUUUCGAACGCAUAUUGCACUUUUUUAGUUUACUAAAAUGUAUGUCUGUUUGAGUAUCAGUAAAAUAUUCUCAUAAAAACUAUUGUUUUUAUGGUUAUGAGUGUCUUACAACGAUAACAAGUUGUUUCACUUUAAAUUGAUUUUUUUAAUAAGCCAAUUUGGUUUUAUUUUAAAAUUGGAUAAAUUUUCCCGUAAAAAGGAAUAAACUUUUCAGUUUAAAGUUAAAACUUAAAUUGACCUACAAAAAAGGAAAUUUAAUUAUAAAACUAACUUGAUCUCAAAUCAGAUAAGAGUACCCGCUGAACUUAAGCAUAUCAAUAAGCGGAGGAAAAGAAACUAACAAGGAUCCCUUAGUAACGGCGAGUGAAGCGGGAAGAGCUCAAAUUUGAAAUCUUCAAGGUUCUACCUUGACGAAUUGUAGUUUAAAGAAGUGUUUUCUGUUAGUGGAGUGGCAAAAGUUCUUUGGAAUAGGACAUCAUAGAGGUGAGAAUCCCGUAUUUGGUCAUUCCUUCUAGCUUUGUGAUACACUUUCAAAGAGUCGGAUUGUUUGGGAAUGCAGUCCAAAAUGGGUGGUAAUUUCAUCUAGAGCUAAAUAUUGGCGAGAGACCGAUAGCGAACAAGUACCGUGAGGGAAAGAUGAAAAGAACUUUGAAAAGAGAGUUAAACAGUACGUGAAAUUGUCAAAAGGGAAGCGUUUGACACCAGUGUUGUUUUUCCGAAAUCAAUUAUAGAUGUUUUGUUUCUGAGGAGUGAUGACUUCAUCGGCUUCCUUCUCUCUUUACGAAACUUUUGUAAUGCACUUUUCGGUUAACAAGUCAACAUCAAUUUCUUUUGUUGUAAAAGAGUAUUCGGAAGGUGGCUUUCUUUUCGGAGAAAGUGUUUAUAGCCCUAUACUUCUACAAUCGGAGAGAUUGAGGUCUGCAGCGUAGAUCCUUCGGGGUUAGAUACACUUGUGCUAAGUUAUAGCUUUUCAUAGACAACUUGUUGACUAUGUUUAGUCUUGUAGCUUACUCGCUUGUGCUAUUUUACCUACGCUUAGGAUGUUGAC